rnacentral:rRNA from 1 species
AGAGUUUGAUCCUGGCUCAGGAUGAACGCUGGCGGUGUGCCUUAUACAUGCAUGUCGAACGAGGCGUAGCAAUACGUCUAGUGGCAAAUGGGUGAGUAAUAAAUAGGUAACCAACCCUUAAGACGGGGAUACCCCAUCGAAAGAUGGAAUAAUACCCGAUAAUGUCCCUUCCGGUGCGCUGGAGGGGAAGAAAGAUGGCGCAAGCUAUCACUUUUGGACGGGCUUAUUUCCUAUCAGCUAGUUGGUGAGGUAACGGCUUACCAAGGCUACGACGGGUAGCUGGUCUGAGAGGACGGUCAGCCACAUUGGGACUGCGACACGGCCCAGACUCCUACGGGAGGCAGCAGUCGGGAAUAUUCGGCCAAUGCGCGAAAGCGUGACCGAGCGACACCGCGUGGGCGACGAAGAUCUUAGGAUUGUAAAGCCCUUUUGCCAGGGAAGAAUACGCUGGAGACAAUAUCAAUAGCGUUUGACGGUACCUGGCGAAUAAGCCGCAGCAAACUACGUGCCAGCAGCUGCGGUAAUACGUAGGCGGCGAGCGUUAUCCGGAAUUACUGGGUGUAAAGGGUCCGCAGGCGACUUGUUAAGUUAAGAGUUAAAUCUCAAAGCCCAACUUUGAGGCCGCUCUUAAGACUGGCAAGAUAGAGUGUAGAAGACGGAAGUGGAAUUCCUGGUGGAGAGGUAAAAUCCGUAGAUAUCAGGAGGAACACCUGUGGUGAAGACGGCUUCCGAGUCUAUAACUGACGCUCAUGGACGAAAGCUAGGGGAGCAAACAGGAUUAGAUACCCUGGUAGUCCUAGCC